UUUAUAUGAGAGUUUGAUCCUGGCUCAGGAUGAACGCUGGCGGUGUGCCUAAUACAUGCAAGUCGAACGCGUUGGCCCAAUUGAUUGAUGGUGCUUGCACCUGAUUGAUUUUGGUCGCCAACGAGUGGCGGACGGGUGAGUAACACGUAGGUAACCUGCCCAGAAGCGGGGGACAACAUUUGGAAACAGAUGCUAAUACCGCAUAACAACGUUGUU
rnacentral:rRNA from 1 species